UAGGGAAUCUUCGGCAAUGGGGGGAACCCUGAUCCAGCCAUGCCGCGUGUGUGAAGAAGGCCUUUUGGUUGUAAAGCACUUUAAGCAGUGAAGAAGACUCUAUGGUUAAUACCCAUAGACGAUGACAUUAGCUGCAGAAUAAGCACCGGCUAACUCUGUGCCAGCAGCCGCGGUAAUACAGAGGGUGCAAGCGUUAAUCGGAAUUACUGGGCGUAAAGCGAGCGUAGGUGGCUUAAUAAGUCAGAUGUGAAAUCCCCGGGCUUAACCUGGGAACUGCAUCUGAUACUGUUAGGCUAGAGUAGGUGAGAGGGAGGUAGAAUUUCAGGUGUAGCGGUGAAAUGCGUAGAGAUCUGAAGGAAUACCGAUGGCGAAGGCAGCCUCCUGGCAUCAUACUGACACUGAGGUUCGAAAGCGUGGGUAGCAAACA
rnacentral:rRNA from 1 species